rnacentral:rRNA from 1 species
GGGUUGUGAGGUUAAGCGACUAAGCGUACACGGUGGAUGCCCUGGCAGUCAGAGGCGAUGAAGGACGUGCUAAUCUGCGAUAAGCGUCGGUAAGGUGAUAUGAACCGUUAUAACCGGCGAUUUCCGAAUGGGGAAACCCAGUGUGAUUCGUCACACUAUCAUUAACUGAAUCCAUAGGUUAAUGAGGCGAACCGGGGGAACUGAAACAUCUAAGUACCCCGAGGAAAAGAAAUCAACCGAGAUUCCCCCAGUAGCGGCGAGCGAACGGGGAGCAGCCCAGAGCCUGAAUCAGUGUGUGUGUUAGUGGAAGCGUCUGGAAAGGCGUGCGAUACAGGGUGACAGCCCCGUACACAAAAAUGCACAUACUGUGAGCUCGAUGAGUAGGGCGGGACACGUGGUAUCCUGUCUGAAUAUGGGGGGACCAUCCUCCAAGGCUAAAUACUCCUGACUGACCGAUAGUGAACCAGUACCGUGAGGGAAAGGCGAAAAGAACCCCGGCGAGGGGAGUGAAAAAGAACCUGAAACCGUGUACGUACAAGCAGUGGGAGCACGCUUAGGCGUGUGACUGCGUACCUUUUGUAUAAUGGGUCAGCGACUUAUAUUCUGUAGCAAGGUUAACCGAAUAGGGGAGCCGAAGGGAAACCGAGUCUUAACUGGGCGUUAAGUUGCAGGGUAUAGACCCGAAACCCGGUGAUCUAGCCAUGGGCAGGUUGAAGGUUGGGUAACACUAACUGGAGGACCGAACCGACUAAUGUUGAAAAAUUAGCGGAUGACUUGUGGCUGGGGGUGAAAGGCCAAUCAAACCGGGAGAUAGCUGGUUCUCCCCGAAAGCUAUUUAGGUAGCGCCUCGUGAAUUCAUCUCCGGGGGUAGAGCACUGUUUCGGCAAGGGGGUCAUCCCGACUUACCAACCCGAUGCAAACUGCGAAUACCGGAGAAUGUUAUCACGGGAGACACACGGCGGGUGCUAACGUCCGUCGUGAAGAGGGAAACAACCCAGACCGCCAGCUAAGGUCCCAAAGUCAUGGUUAAGUGGGAAACGAUGUGGGAAGGCCCAGACAGCCAGGAUGUUGGCUUAGAAGCAGCCAUCAUUUAAAGAAAGCGUAAUAGCUCACUGGUCGAGUCGGCCUGCGCGGAAGAUGUAACGGGGCUAAACCAUGCACCGAAGCUGCGGCAGCGACGCUUAUGCGUUGUUGGGUAGGGGAGCGUUCUGUAAGCCUGCGAAGGUGUGCUGUGAGGCAUGCUGGAGGUAUCAGAAGUGCGAAUGCUGACAUAAGUAACGAUAAAGCGGGUGAAAAGCCCGCUCGCCGGAAGACCAAGGGUUCCUGUCCAACGUUAAUCGGGGCAGGGUGAGUCGACCCCUAAGGCGAGGCCGAAAGGCGUAGUCGAUGGGAAACAGGUUAAUAUUCCUGUACUUGGUGUUACUGCGAAGGGGGGACGGAGAAGGCUAUGUUGGCCGGGCGACGGUUGUCCCGGUUUAAGCGUGUAGGCUGGUUUUCCAGGCAAAUCCGGAAAAUCAAGGCUGAGGCGUGAUGACGAGGCACUACGGUGCUGAAGCAACAAAUGCCCUGCUUCCAGGAAAAGCCUCUAAGCAUCAGGUAACAUCAAAUCGUACCCCAAACCGACACAGGUGGUCAGGUAGAGAAUACCAAGGCGCUUGAGAGAACUCGGGUGAAGGAACUAGGCAAAAUGGUGCCGUAACUUCGGGAGAAGGCACGCUGAUAUGUAGGUGAAGUCCCUCGCGGAUGGAGCUGAAAUCAGUCGAAGAUACCAGCUGGCUGCAACUGUUUAUUAAAAACACAGCACUGUGCAAACACGAAAGUGGACGUAUACGGUGUGACGCCUGCCCGGUGCCGGAAGGUUAAUUGAUGGGGUUAGCGCAAGCGAAGCUCUUGAUCGAAGCCCCGGUAAACGGCGGCCGUAACUAUAACGGUCCUAAGGUAGCGAAAUUCCUUGUCGGGUAAGUUCCGACCUGCACGAAUGGCGUAAUGAUGGCCAGGCUGUCUCCACCCGAGACUCAGUGAAAUUGAACUCGCUGUGAAGAUGCAGUGUACCCGCGGCAAGACGGAAAGACCCCGUGAACCUUUACUAUAGCUUGACACUGAACAUUGAGCCUUGAUGUGUAGGAUAGGUGGGAGGCUUUGAAGUGUGGACGCCAGUCUGCAUGGAGCCGACCUUGAAAUACCACCCUUUAAUGUUUGAUGUUCUAACGUUGACCCGUGAUCCGGGUUGCGGACAGUGUCUGGUGGGUAGUUUGACUGGGGCGGUCUCCUCCUAAAGAGUAACGGAGGAGCACGAAGGUUGGCUAAUCCUGGUCGGACAUCAGGAGGUUAGUGCAAUGGCAUAAGCCAGCUUGACUGCGAGCGUGACGGCGCGAGCAGGUGCGAAAGCAGGUCAUAGUGAUCCGGUGGUUCUGAAUGGAAGGGCCAUCGCUCAACGGAUAAAAGGUACUCCGGGGAUAACAGGCUGAUACCGCCCAAGAGUUCAUAUCGACGGCGGUGUUUGGCACCUCGAUGUCGGCUCAUCACAUCCUGGGGCUGAAGUAGGUCCCAAGGGUAUGGCUGUUCGCCAUUUAAAGUGGUACGCGAGCUGGGUUUAGAACGUCGUGAGACAGUUCGGUCCCUAUCUGCCGUGGGCGCUGGAGAACUGAGGGGGGCUGCUCCUAGUACGAGAGGACCGGAGUGGACGCAUCACUGGUGUUCGGGUUGUCAUGCCAAUGGCACUGCCCGGUAGCUAAAUGCGGAAGAGAUAAGUGCUGAAAGCAUCUAAGCACGAAACUUGCCCCGAGAUGAGUUCUCCCUGACUCCUUGAGAGUCCUGAAGGAACGUUGAAGACGACGACGUUGAUAGGCCGGGUGUGUAAGCGCAGCGAUGCGUUGAGCUAACCGGUACUAAUGAACCGUGAGGCUUAACCUUACAACGCCGAAGGUGUUU